rnacentral:rRNA from 1 species
UAGGGAAUCUUCGGCAAUGGGGGCAACCCUGACCGAGCAACGCCGCGUGAGUGAAGAAGGUUUUCGGAUCGUAAAGCUCUGUUGUAAGAGAAGAACGUGUGUGAGAGUGGAAAGUUCACACAGUGACGGUAACUUACCAGAAAGGGACGGCUAACUACGUGCCAGCAGCCGCGGUAAUACGUAGGUCCCGAGCGUUGUCCGGAUUUAUUGGUCGUAAAGCGAGCGCAGGCGGUUUAAUAAGUCUGAAGUUAAAGGCAGUGGCUUAACCAUUGUUCGCUUUGGAAACUGUUAAACUUGAGUGCAGAAGGGGAGAGUAGAAUUCCAUGUGUAGCGGUGAAAUGCGUAGAUAUAUGGAGGAACACCGGUGGCGAAAGCGGCUCUCUGGUCUGUAACUGACGCUGAGGCUCGAAAGCGUGGGGAGCAAACAGG